UUGAACACUUCAUGUGAGAGCUGUAUUUCAUUUGAACAGAACCCACGGCAACCAUGACUUUCAUCACCAUCUUCAUCUGGACUCUGGUCUGUUACGCACAAGGGUCUUGGGGCCAGUAUGUAUUGACUCAGUCUGCAGCUCAAUCAGUCCAGCCUGGUCAAACUGUCUCUAUUGACUGUAGCGCCAGUAGUAAAGUUACUCAGUACUCUGGCUCACAGUAUUUCCUGGCCUGGUACCAUCAGACGUCUGGAGAAGCUCCUAAACUCCUGAUCUAUGUCACAUCAGCAAGGUUCACAGGAGUUUCCACCAGGUUCAGUGGCAGUGGGAGAGGAAAUGGUGUUGACUUCACUCUGACCAUCAGUGAAGUCCAGGCUGAGGAUACAGGAGUUUACUACUGUCAGAGUUACCACAGUGAUCCUGUGUUCACACAGUGAUUUAGAGCCGCACAAAAACCCCCCUCAGUCAGAGUCCACUGCUGCAGCUGGGACUUACUGCAGGUGCUGAGGGCGAAGACAAUGACAUGCGUCACUGAGUUCUACUGUACAAACACUCAACCCACUGGGCAGAAACUGGUUGAAUCAACGCUGUUUCCACAUCAAUUAAACCAAACAAAUCUUUGUGAUGAAGUUGAAUCAACAUGGAAAACCAAUUCGAUUUGCAAAAAGUCAUCGGCGUGAGGGCAUUUUGCUUUUUUUU